CCGACUGUCUCUUGAGUGAUUGUCGAACUUCACUUCUAGGUGAAAAGGCCUAGAUGAUUCUGGAGGACGAUCAGACCCUGUAGAGCUUUAAUUGAUAUCCUUAUUAUAGUGUAGCAGAAUGUUAUAUAAGUAAGAGGGUUUAAUUUUGGUUGGG
rnacentral:rRNA from 1 species